UGGCGGACGGGUGAGUAACACGUGAGCAACCUGCCUUCGAGAGGGGAAUAACGGCUGGAAACGGUCGCUAAUACCGCAUAACAUACAGGAGGGACAUCCCUUUUGUAUCAAAGAUUUAUCGCUCGAAGAUGGGCUCGCGUCCGAUUAGGUAGUUGGUGAGGUAAUGGCCCACCAAGCCGACGAUCGGUAGCCGGACUGAGAGGUUGAACGGCCACAUUGGGACUGAGACACGGCCCAGACUCCUACGGGAGGCAGCAG
rnacentral:rRNA from 1 species